CCUACGGGUGGCAGCAGUGGGGAAUAUUGCGCAAUGGGCGAAAGCCUGACGCAGCGACGUCGCGUGAGGGAUGAAGGCCUUCGGAUUGUUAAACUCUGUCAGCAGGGAAGCACGGUCACUGUGCUAAUCAGCAGCGAAUUGACGGUACCUGCAAAGCAAGCACCGGCUAACUCCGUGCCAGCAGCCGCGGUAAUACGGUGGGAGCGAGCGUUAAUCGGAAUUACUGGGCGUAAAGCGCUCGUAGGCGGUAUGUCAAGUCAAGCGUGAAAUCCCCGCGCUCAACGUGGGAACUGCCUUUGAAACUGGCGAACUUGAGUGUGUGAGAGGAUAGUGGAAUUCCAGGUGUAGGAGUGAAAUGCGUAGAUAUCUGGAGGAACAUCAGUGGCGAAGGCGACUAUCUGGCACAUAACUGACGCUGAGGAGCGAAAGCGUGGGUAGCAAACAGGAUUAGAUACCCCAGUAGUC
rnacentral:rRNA from 1 species